GUCCUCAGUUGCCAUCAUUCAGUUGGGCACUCUGGGGAGACUGCCGGUGAUAAGCCGCGAGGAAGGUGUGGAUGACGUCAAGUCCUCAUGGCCCUUACGGGCUGGGCUACACACGUGCUACAAUGGCGGUGACAGAGGGAUGCCAACCCGCGAGGGUGCGCCAAUCUCGAAACGCCGUCUCAGUUCGGAUUGCACUCUGCAACUCGAGUGCAUGAAGUUGGAAUCGCUAGUAAUCGUGGAUCAACACGCCACGGUGAAUACGUUCCCGGGCCUUGUACACACCGCCCGU
rnacentral:rRNA from 1 species